UAUAGUUUAACAAAAACACUA
rnacentral:tRNA from 2 species